CAUUACCGAGUUUACAACUCCCAAACCCCUGUGAACAUACCACUUGUUGCCUCGGCGGAUCAGCCCGCUCCCGGUAAAACGGGACGGCCCGCCAGAGGACCCCUAAACUCUGUUUCUAUAUGUAACUUCUGAGUAAAACCAUAAAUAAAUCAAAACUUUCAACAACGGAUCUCUUGGUUCUGGCAUCGAUGAAGAACGCAGCAAAAUGCGAUAAGUAAUGUGAAUUGCAGAAUUCAGUGAAUCAUCGAAUCUUUGAACGCACAUUGCGCCCGCCAGUAUUCUGGCGGGCAUGCCUGUUCGAGCGUCAUUUCAACCCUCAAGCACAGCUUGGUGUUGGGACUCGCGUUAAUUCGCGUUCCCCAAAUUGAUUGGCGGUCACGUCGAGCUUCCAUAGCGUAGUAGUAAAACCCUCGUUACUGGUAAUCGUCGCGGCCACGCCGUUAAACCCCAACUUCUGAAUGUUGACCUCGGAUCAGGUAGGAAUACCCGCUGAACUUAAGCAUAUCAA
rnacentral:rRNA from 1 species